rnacentral:lncRNA from 1 species
CAACACUGCUGUUUCAUGCAGCUCCAACACUAACAGCAAAGCCUCGCAGGCAAAGAUGUUUGUCGUUUCUGUCUGGAAGAGCAAUCAACUGGCAUGGAGGACAGUGAAGAAGGAAACCCUCAUUGCAGGAGUGGGCAUCACAUCUGGAGGAAGCUGCUGGCAGCUCAGAGACGCCGAACAGACGUGGACCAAACAGGCUGCAGUGACUGAUUCCCAGCUACCACAGGAGACUGCCUCAUACAGCUUCAUUCCUAAUUUAGUAGACCUGAUAUAUUUUUAGCAGAAAGACUAAAUCUUCUUUGACUAAGUCGCCAGAGUCAAAUCAGCACUGACAAAAUAUAAGCAUUACGAAACUGGACUGAUGAUGUUAUCUGAGAUAUUUAACUGAAGAAUGAGGACUUUUUAAAGCUAUGAUGGAUUCAAGGAAGAUGGUGAAUAAAAAAUCACGUUCUCUUUGUGUCUCUUCAUCAUAGCUGAUUAUUUUUGUGCUUUUCUUCUUCA